AAUGCUCAGUAACACGUAGUCAACUUACCCUAUGGACGAGGAUAAUCUCGGGAAACUGAGCAUAAUACUCGAUAGAUCAUAAUGCCUGGAAUGGUUUAUGGUUAAAAUGAUUCGUCGCCAUAGGAUGGGACUGCGGCCUAUCAGCUUGUUGGUGAGGUAAUGGCCCACCAAGGCGAUUACAGGUACGGGCUCUGAGAGGAGAAGCCCGGAGAUGGGUACUGAGACAAGGACCCAGGCCCUAUGGGGCGCAGCAGGCGAGAAAACUUUGCAAUGUGCGAAAGCACGACAAGGUUAAUCCGAGUGAUUUCUGCUAAAGAAAUCUUUUGCAAGUCAUAAAACCACUAGUGAAUAAGGGGUGGGCAAGUUCUGGUGUCAGCCGCCGCGGUAAAACCAGCACCUCAAGUGGUCAGGAGGAUUAUUGGGCCUAAAGCAUCCGUAGCCGGCUCUGUAAGUUUUCGGUUAAAUCCAUGUGCUCAACGCAUGGGCUGCCGAAAAUACUGCAUAGCUAGGGAGUGGGAGAGGUAGACGGUACUCAGUAGGAAGGGGUAAAAUCCUUUGAUCUAUUGAUGACCACCUGUGGCGAAGGCGGUCUACCAGAACACGUUCGACGGUGAGGGAUGAAAGCUGGGGGAGCAAACCGGAUUAGAUACCCGGGUAGUCCCAGCUGUAAACGAUGCAGACUCGAUGAUGCAUUGGCAUAUAGCCAGUGCAGUGUCGCAGGGAAGCCGUUAAGUCUGUCGCCUGGGAAGUACGUACGCAAGUAUGAAACUUAAAGGAAUUGGCGGGGGAGCAC
rnacentral:rRNA from 1 species